ACCCACAAGCUGUGCUCUAGCAACUGGUCAUUUCAAUACUUCUUUUACAUGCAAUUUUCACAAGACUAACAGUUCUAUCAUGAAGAUUGGAAUUGCUGCUCUCAUUGCAGGAAUUAUUGGUGCUAUUGGCAUAAUUCUGUUUCUGGUAGCAUUUGGAACAGAAUAUUGGCUACUUGCAACAGAGACCUGUGAAAGUUUUGAUUGUAACAAUGGGACUUUGGACACUGAAGAAGAGAAUGAUGAAGAUAUAAGGGACUAUGAGGAAAUGUCUGUUAUAUACCAUCAUGAAGGCUUCUUCUGGCGUUGUUGGUUUUUCGGAGAUGAUCCACAAACUUCAGUCUGGAGAUACUGGUUUAUGAACCAGCCUCACCCCAAGCGCUGUAUUCCUGGGUAUCUCUUUCCUAUGCCAAUUGCUGUUGGGCCUUUCCCACAUCCUUCUUUUGAUGCAACUACAGUGUACAGAGGCUUCUGGACGAUCUUUAUUAUACUGGGUAUUGGUUCUGGUCUGGCUGGAGGAUUUCUGCUGGUGUGUGGUAUGCCCUUUGCCAAUGCUGGAUGUUACAAAAUUGGAGGUGGCUUUCUGAUGAUAUCAGGUUGCAUUCAAGGGGAUGCAGCACAGGAGAUCUUUGAGUCUGACCUGUCUCUCUUAUAAUUAUCACAAUGCCAUCAACUUUAAGGGCAAGUUAUUUCCUCCUAAGAAAAACCUCAGUUAAGGGGCCCUAUUUAGCCUGAUACUCAGCCUGUUUGUAUUAUGGAAGGAAUAUGCUGUUGAUUUUCCAAAGUACAUAUCUAUAGAAAGGAGCAACAGGUGUGUCCCAGAAAAUGUCAUCAUUGAUGUGCAAUAUGGAUGGUCAUUCAUAUUUGCUGCCUUUGGAACUCCCUUUGUAUGCAUGUCAGGGAUUAUGUUCCAUUUUAUUGGCCAGGGGCUUGAGUUUCAGAAGUGAAUGAAAUAAAAUGGCAAAAGACCACAGUGAUAUCUGGGUAGAAUUCUGAUUAAUGGUUGAACGAAGUUGAAAAAAAAUUCAGAUUUUGGUCUUAGCCAAGCACUGAGAACAUUAAUUAUCAUAUAUAUGUAUAUGUAUUAUAUAUAUAUUCCUUACAUGACAUUAACAAGUGAAUGGAAUUUUCAGGGUGAUGCUGAAAGAGUAAGAUUUAAAGUACAUCAUUUUUAAGGGGACUACAGUGAGUUUUAACUUAGUCUUAGGUUGAAUAAAUCAAAAGACUGGCUCUGGUUUUCUGAAUUAAUUUAAAAAUAGGAAGAGUAUAAUUUCAAACACUGGCACCAUGAUUUAAUUUUCAGUGUUUCCAAAAUUGACUGGAUUUGAAGUAAUCUGUUUCCUGUUUAUGAAGAAGUGAGUUUUACUUUUGAAAUAAUCAAUUGCCCAUCAGUAACAUAUCAGACAGAAAAUAUUGGUUCUUAAUUUCAAGGUUUUAGAGAUAUAACAGGAAACAUAAAAAUAUUUCUUCUUGAUUCCCUAAACAGACAGAUAUUGCAAAGUGAGAAUUGAAUUAAUACAUGCAGGAUUUAAUGGAAUAAAUAGGAAACAGUUACAUCUGAAGUUACAUCUGAAAAGUAUAUUUUCAUAUCCCAGAUUGUGUAUCCUUCCAGCACAGAAAGAUCUGUACUUGAGCAUGAGAUUGAUAAUAUGUUAAAAAAUAGAAUGCUAUACUUCAACAAAAAUCAGUUAUAGGUCAAAAUUCAAAAUAAAAUAGUUCAUCUUAAUAAAGGGACAUGGGACAAGAUAUAUACAGAGAUGGGUAGUUCUGGCCUGAAGGAUGGGAACGUUUACAUCUAUUUUUGGGAAAAUAUUCCUUGUCCUUUGAUAGUCAACUAUGUUAAUUUUCUUUUUUCAUUUUUUUUUACUAUUUUUUAGUUGUUGAUAAACCUUUAUUUUUAUUUAUGUAUAUGUGGUGCUGAGAAUUGAACCCAGUACGUCACAUAAACUAGGCAAAUGCUACAACCCUAGCCCUGUUAAAUGUUAUUACUUAGGAAGAAUGGCUAAUAUAGUAAGAAUAUUUUGUUUACUCCUGUAUUGUCAACUGUAUGUCUUUAAUUAUUUAGACCACAUCUAUCUAUUCUUUAAAAUAUUAUCUUAUCUUAAAGAUACUAAUAAGAAAUAAUGAAAUAUCUGAGGAUAAUUUAAUGUAACAUUUAUGGGGAAAUAUAUAUGAAUUAUUAAUUUGUAGCAGAAUCAAAAAUAAAAAUAUAGACCAUCAUAUUGAAAUCACCAAUAAGGUAAAAGCUGAAGUGUUGUUCCUUCUGAGGAUUUGUAUAUGCUCUGGUAAGUAUGUCAACCCCCUAACUGGAACUAUUAGACUAGUCACAAUUAAUAAAUGAAGAUAUAUCAUAGGUAUGUUUAAAUUUUCUAUAAGUCAAAGAUAUAUUUUUGGUGACUCAUAUUCAGACAAUAUCUUGGUAUAAUUAUGCUCACCGAAUAAAAAAUUCAGUAACUGCUAAUUGUCCUUCCAUGCUAUGGCUAUUAGUGCCUAUUCAGUUAUAAUUACAUCCAAUUAACAUGAAUAUUUUAGUGUGAUGAAAAUACUAUAAAUUUAACUUUAGAAUUGUCCAAUGAUCUGUAACA